UAGAGCGCCCUCCCUGCUCAACACACAGGCACCCUCACUACAGUGUUGGUGCAGCAGGCAAGAGACAAUAGAGUCCAUGAACUCCUGGGCUGGGCUGGGCUGCCCUAGUUAUGAAGAGAUACAUCAGGAUCUUUGAAAGAGUCUACUAUCCCAGCACUGUCAUUCCCAGGAUCCAAAGCUACCAGUGUUAAUUAGUUCCCGUGAUGUGAUGGAUGACAAGCGGCAGGGCCAGGAAUGACACAAGCAGAUUGUGCUCAAAAUAAGCCAUCCCUCACCAUCAAGGGCAGAGGAAAGGAAUUUAGAAAGGACAGGAGCUGAGCACACUGCUGCGAGACGGCAGCAUAUCACAGCUCAACGAGUAUCCAGACAUCUACCUGCACAUGCCCAGAGUGCAGAGC